rnacentral:rRNA from 1 species
CAAGGCUUGACAUGCACGGGAAGCCACCAGAGAUGGUGGUCUCUUUGGACACUCGUGCACAGGUGGUGCAUGGUUGUCGUCAGCUCGUGUCGUGAGAUGUUGGGUUAAGUCCCGCAACGAGCGCAACCCUCGUCCCAUGUUGCCAGCGGGUUAUGCCGGGGACUCAUGGGAGACUGCCGGGGUCAACUCGGAGGAAGGUGGGGAUGACGUCAAAUCAUCAUGCCCCUUAUGUCUUGGGCUUCACGCAUGCUACAAUGGCCGGUACAAAGGGCUGCGAUACCGUAAGGUGGAGCGAAUCCCAAAAAGCCGGUCUCAGUUCGGAUUGGGGUCUGCAACUCGACCCCAUGAAGUCGGAGUCGCUAGUAAUCGCAGAUCAGCAAUGCUGCGGUGAAUA